rnacentral:rRNA from 1 species
UACGUAGGGGGCGAGCGUUGUCCGGAGUUACUGGGCGUAAAGCGCACGCAGGCGGUCUGCUAAGUUUGGAGUGACAGUUGGUGGCUUAACUGCCAAAGUGCUUCGAAAACUGACAGACUUGAGGGCUUCAGAGGGACACGGAAUUCCGGGUGGAGUGGUGAAAUGCGUAGAGAUCCGGAGGAACACCGAAGGCGAAGGCAGUGUCCUGGCGAGUGACUGACGCUGAGGUGCGAAAGCCAGGGGAGUGAACGGG